GGGUUGUGAGGUUAAGCGACUAAGCGUACACGGUGGAUGCCCUGGCAGUCAGAGGCGAUGAAGGACGUGCUAAUCUGCGAUAAGCGUCGGUGAGGUGAUAUGAACCGUUAUAACCGGCGAUUUCCGAAUGGGGAAACCCAGUGUGUUUCGACACACUAUCAUUAACUGAAUCCAUAGGUUAAUGAGGCGAACCGGGGGAACUGAAACAUCUAAGUACCCCGAGGAAAAGAAAUCAACCGAGAUUCCCCCAGUAGCGGCGAGCGAACGGGGAGGAGCCCAGAGCCUGAAUCAGUGUGUGUGUUAGUGGAAGCGUCUGGAAAGGCGCGCGAUACAGGGUGACAGCCCCGUACACAAAAAUGCACAUAUUGUGAGCUCGAUGAGUAGGGCGGGACACGUGGUAUCCUGUCUGAAUAUGGGGGGACCAUCCUCCAAGGCUAAAUACUCCUGACUGACCGAUAGUGAACCAGUACCGUGAGGGAAAGGCGAAAAGAACCCCGGCGAGGGGAGUGAAAAAGAACCUGAAACCGUGUACGUACAAGCAGUGGGAGCCUCUUAAUGGGGUGACUGCGUACCUUUUGUAUAAUGGGUCAGCGACUUAUAUUCUGUAGCAAGGUUAACCGAAUAGGGGAGCCGAAGGGAAACCGAGUCUUAACUGGGCGUUAAGUUGCAGGGUAUAGACCCGAAACCCGGUGAUCUAGCCAUGGGCAGGUUGAAGGUUGGGUAACACUAACUGGAGGACCGAACCGACUAAUGUUGAAAAAUUAGCGGAUGACUUGUGGCUGGGGGUGAAAGGCCAAUCAAACCGGGAGAUAGCUGGUUCUCCCCGAAAGCUAUUUAGGUAGCGCCUCGUGAAUUCAUCUCCGGGGGUAGAGCACUGUUUCGGCAAGGGGGUCAUCCCGACUUACCAACCCGAUGCAAACUGCGAAUACCGGAGAAUGUUAUCACGGGAGACACACGGCGGGUGCUAACGUCCGUCGUGAAGAGGGAAACAACCCAGACCGCCAGCUAAGGUCCCAAAGUCAUGGUUAAGUGGGAAACG
rnacentral:rRNA from 1 species